AAUCAACGCUGGCGGCGUGCCUCAGACAUGCAAGUCGAACGAUUAAACUUUCCUUCGGGAAAGAUAUAAAGUGGCGCACGGGUGAGUAACACGUAAGUAAUCUACCUUCGAGUGGGGAAUAACGUCCGGAAACGGACGCUAAUACCGCAUAAUGCAGCGGCACCUUAUGGUGACAGUUGUUAAAGGAGCAAUUCGCUUGAAGAGGAGCUUGCGGCAGAUUAGCUAGUUGGAAGGUAACGGCUUACCAAGGCUACGAUCUGUAACCGGUCUAAGAGGACGGUCGGUCACACUGACACUGAAUAACGGGUCAGACUCCUACGGGAGGCAGCAGUCGGGAAUUUUGGGCAAUGGGCGAAAGCCUGACCCAGCAACGCCGCGUGAAGGAUGAAGUAUUUCGGUAUGUAAACUUCGAAAGAAUAGGGAAG
rnacentral:rRNA from 1 species